ACGAACGCUGGCGGCAUGCCUAACCCAUGCCAGUCGCACGAGACCUUCGGGUCUAGUGGCGCACGGGUGCGUAACGCGUGGGAAUCUACCCUCAGGUUCGGAAUAACUCAGAGAAAUUUGAGCUAAUACCGGAUGAUGACGUAAGUCCAAAGAUUUAUCGCCUGAGGAUGAGCCCGCUUAGGAUUAGGUAGUUGGUGAGGUAAAGGCUCACCAAGCCGACGAUCCUUAGCUGGUCUGAGAGGAUGAUCAGCCACACUGGGACUGAGACACGGCCCAGACUCCUACGGGAGGCAGCAGUGGGGAAUAUUGGACAAUGGGCGAAAGCCUGAUCCAGCAAUGCCGCGUGAGUGAUGAAGGCCUUAGGGUUGUAAAGCUCUUUUACCCGGGAUGAUAAUGACAGUACCGGGAGAAUAAGCUCCGGCUAACUCCGUG
rnacentral:rRNA from 1 species